rnacentral:lncRNA from 10 species
CUCAGAUGUGGCCCUGAAUGAGGAGCUCUGUUUUGGAAGAAUGCGCUUUCAUCGGUAUUGCUGCCUGGAGUUUCGAGAAUUCGUUUCAUGGAAUCAACAAGACUUUCUUACACACACAGCGUGACCAUAAGUGGAGAGAGAAAUGUGCCAGAGUAAAGACAGCCAUACAUACUUGACACUUCUCCCAUUAAAAAGUGGAGUCUAUUUCCUUCCACUUGAAUCUGCACUGACCUGAGACUGCUUGGACCCAUAGGAAAUGGCAGAUAUGACAUAUGGCCAGUCCCAGGCUUUGCCUUGGAGAGACCUAGAAACUUCUACCAUAGUCUCUUGAAGCUUCGAGGUGGCAGGAAAUAAAUCCAACCAGCUACCUGGCCGGAGAAAUCAGCAGGAAAGGCCCCAAGAAUAUGUGAAGAAGGAGAUGGGCCUGGUAGAGCCCAGGCUUCCAACCAACUGACAAGACUCCAGGCAUGGUAAUAAAACCAUCUCGAUACUUCUAGCAGCAGCAGCAGCAGCAACCAACAGAACAUCACUAAGUGACCCCAGUUGUGCCAUCUGCCCCAGUUCCUGCUGCACAAAACCAUGAUAUAAAGAAGUGGGUUAUUUUACAUCAGUAAGUAUUGGGUUAGUUUUAUACUCAGUAAUAAAUCAAGGGAGCAUUUUACAACAGUUUCCCAGAAGAUGGGCACAAUAGUGGCCCCACAGGGUGGGGUGAGAAGAGUUGCUGAAGCCUUAGCAUGAGACUCUCCCAGAAAUCCCUUUUUUUUGAUUUUCAGAAAGCCCUGAUGCUACAGUAAUAAUAGCUAAUAUUUCUUAAUUGCUAUAAAUAUGGC